rnacentral:sRNA from 1 species
UCGGUUGUAGUAUCUUCGGGUCCCCCCGA